rnacentral:rRNA from 1 species
CUAAUACAUGCAAGUCGAACGCGCAGCGAAAGGUGCUUGCACCUUUCAAGCGAGUGGCGAACGGGUGAGUAACACGUGGAUAACCUGCCUCAAGGCUGGGGAUAACAUUUGGAAACAGAUGCUAAUACCGAAUAAAACUUAGUAUCGCAUGAUACAAAGUUGAAAGGCGCUACGGCGUCACCUAGAGAUGGGUCCGCGGUGCAUUAGUUAGUUGGUGGGGUAAAGGCCUACCAAGACAAUGAUGCAUAGCCGAGUUGAGAGACUGAUCGGCCACAUUGGGACUGAGACACGGCCCAAACUCCUACGGGAGGCUGCAGUAGGGAAUCUUCCACAAUGGGCGAAAGCCUGAUGGAGCAACGCCGCGUGUGUGAUGAAGGCUUUAGGGUCGUAAAGCACUGUUGUAUGGGAAGAAAUGCUAGAAUAGGGAAUGAUUCUAGUUCGACGGUACCAUACCAGAAAGGGACGGCUAAAUACGUGCCAGCAGCCGCGGUAAUACGUAUGUCCCGAGCGUUAUCCGGAUUUAUUGGGCGUAAAGCGAGCGCAGACGGUUGAUUAAGUCUGAUGUGAAAGCCCGGAGCUCAACUCCGGAAUGGCAUUGGAAACUGGUUAACUUGAGUGUUGUAGAGGUAAGUGGAACUCCAUGUGUAGCGGUGGAAUGCGUAGAUAUAUGGAAGAACACCAGUGGCGAAGGCGGCUUACUGGACAACAACUGACGUUGAGGCUCGAAA